UACGGAGGGUGCGAGCGUUAAUCGGAAUUACUGGGCGUAAAGACGCAUGCAGGUGGUUUGUUUAAGUUCAGAUGUGAAAGACCCGGGGCGUCAACCUCCGGAAUAGCAUUUGUAAACUAGGCAGACUAGAGUACUGUAGAGGGGGGUAGGAAUUUCAGGUGUAGCGGUGAAAUAGCGUAGAGAUCUGAAGGAAUACCGGUGGCGAAGGCGGCCCCCUCGGACAGAUACUGACACUCAGAUGCGAAAGCGUGGGGAGCAAACAGGAUUAGAUACCCUGGUAG
rnacentral:rRNA from 1 species